GACACACUCUUUUUUUGCUUCAGGGGUUCGUGGUGCGAGGAUGUGGCAGGUGUCUUCUGACCCAGGAAAACAGCCUGAGGACAAGGCCAAGAGGCGAGGAGGGCAGAGUGGAAGGGAAGGAAUCAGACUGCUGAUGAAGCCGUUCAGCCACUGGAUGAGCCCAGAGCUUCCCCACCUCUGGACUGACUUACUGGAAGGGUAUGUCCAUCCAGGUUCUCUGGCCUGCCUGAGCACGGACUUUCCUGGCGCUGUCCGCAAGGACGAGUUUCAGAGCCGGCCUUCGUGGACUAUAUCCAGACGAAUUCUUACCAUCCUCCCUGCAGUUUGUGUUUGCCCUCAGGUAAGUUCCAU
rnacentral:lncRNA from 1 species